CCUACGGGAGGCUGCAGUGGGGAAUAUUGGACAAUGGGCGAAAGCCUGAUCCAGCCAUGCCGCGUGUGUGAAGAAGGCCUUCGGGUUGUAAAGCACUUUCAGUGGGGAAGAAAGCCUUGGGGCUAAUACCCUCGAGGAAGGACAUCACCCACAGAAGAAGCACCGGCUAACUCCGUGCCAGCAGCCGCGGUAAUACGGAGGGUGCGAGCGUUAAUCGGAAUUACUGGGCGUAAAGCGCGCGUAGGCGGUCUGAUAAGCCGGUUGUGAAAGCCCCGGGCUCAACCUGGGAUCGGCAUCCGGAACUGUCAGGCUAGAGUGCAGGAGAGGAAGGUAGAAUUCCCGGUGUAGCGGUGAAAUGCGUAGAGAUCGGGAGGAAUACCAGUGGCGAAGGCGGCCUUCUGGACUGACACUGACGCUGAGGUGCGAAAGCGUGGGUAGCAAACAGGAUUAGAUACCCCAGUAGUC
rnacentral:rRNA from 1 species